rnacentral:rRNA from 1 species
UACGUAGGGGGCAAGCGUUGUCCGGAUUUACUGGGCGUAAAGAGCGCGCAGGCGGUCGUUCAAGUCGAGUGUGAAAGCCCCCGGCUCAACUGGGGAGGGUCACUCGAUACUGAUCGACUCGAAGGCAGGAGAGGGAAGCGGAAUUCCCGGUGUAGUGGUGAAAUGCGUAGAUAUCGGGAGGAACACCAGUGGCGAAGGCGGCUUUCUGGCCUGCUCUUGACGCUGAGGCGCGAAAGCUAGGGUAGCAAACGGG